GAUGAACGCUGGCGGCGUGCCUAAUACAUGCAAGUCGAGCGAACAGACGAGGAGCUUGCUCCUCUGACGUUAGCGGCGGACGGGUGAGUAACACGUGGAUAACCUACCUAUAAGACUGGGAUAACUUCGGGAAACCGGAGCUAAUACCGGAUAAUAUAUUGAACCGCAUGGUUCAAUAGUGAAAGACGGUUUUGCUGUCACUUAUAGAUGGAUCCGCGCCGCAUUAGCUAGUUGGUAAGGUAACGGCUUACCAAGGCAACGAUGCGUAGCCGACCUGAGAGGGUGAUCGGCCACACUGGAACUGAGACACGGUCCAGACUCCUACGGGAGGCAGCAGUAGGGAAUCUUCCGCAAUGGGCAAAAGCCUGACGGAGCAACGCCGCGUGAGUGAUGAAGGUCUUCGGAUCGUAAAACUCUGUUAUUAGGGAAGAACAAAUGUGUAAGUAACUAUGCACGUCUUGACGGUACCUAAUCAGAAAGCCACGGCUAACUGCGUG
rnacentral:rRNA from 1 species